rnacentral:rRNA from 1 species
CCCUUAGAUGUUCUGAACCGCACGCGUGUUACACUGAUGCAUUCAACGAGCUUUACCUUGGCCGAGAGGCCUGGGAAAUCUUUUUAGCAUGCAUCGUGAUAGGGAUUGAUUAUUGCAAUUAUUAAUCAUGAACGAGGAAUUCCUAGUAAACGCAUUUCAUCAAAAUGCAUUGAUUACGUCCCUGCCCUUUGUACACACCGCCCGUCGCACCUACCGAUUGAGUGGUCCGGUGAAGUCUCGAGAUUGUGGCAAUCUCCUUUAUUGGAGUUUGACUGCGAGAACUUGCCUAAACCUCAUCACUUAGAGGAAGGUGAAGUCGUAACA